UCCUUCAUUCCAGUUACAAAAUUCAGACCAUUUUUCUCUCUAUUUCCUCUCAGAAUUUCGUGCUCCCUCUCUCUCUAAGGAAAGGAAAAGCCUCCAUUGAAGCUCCUAGGCUUAUCUUGAAGAAACAAGUCACAAAAAAGGAGUGUUGCAUGCAUGAUCCAAGAGCUUCUAUGGCAUAUUUGGAACUUUGAAAUUAACAAGUUGUUUCAGGUUGUAGGUAAGCAAAACAACAAGAUGGAUUAGUGAGCGCCGGAUUCUGUCAGUGGAAUUACAUGUGGCUCAAAUAUGGAAGUCGGGUAUCACCAAGAAACUGAACAGAUCUUCAAAUUUCUUCACAACCUUCCAAAGUAUCCUUAGAAUCACCUAGACUGGAGUGGGAAAUUCUCAACACAUGAGAUAGAUACAAAGAGAAGAAGGGACGAAAAUUUAGAGGCCUAGAAAAUGACUUUUGCUGUAGAGAGAAUCUAAAACCUUGAGCAUCAAGAAUAAUACUUCUGAUCUACUUUUCAUCUGUCAGAUCGUCUGAUUUCAACUCUCA